rnacentral:rRNA from 1 species
UACGUAGGGCGCAAGCGUUAUCCGGAAUUAUUGGGCGUAAAGAGCUCGUAGGCGGUUUGUCGCGUCUGCUGUGAAAUUUCGGGGCUCAACCCCGAACUUGCAGUGGGUACGGGCAGACUAGAGUGUGGUAGGGGAGACUGGAAUUCCUGGUGUAGCGGUGAAAUGCGCAGAUAUCAGGAGGAACACCGAUGGCGAAGGCAGGUCUCUGGGCCACUACUGACGCUGAGAAGCGAAAGCAUGGGGAGCGAACAGG